CUUUGUGAGACCAAAUUGGCUGGAAUCUGGACCAUCUCCCGAGGGAAGGAGGGACUCUGAAAUGAUUCCAUGCAUUUGCUUCAGCAGGAUGGCACAGACUCAGCACUCCUGAGUCGCGUGGACUGACACUGAUCCCUGCCGAGCCAGGAACAUCUGCUCUAGGGAGGCCGUUCUGCCAGGGCAUGGGAGAAGCUUGAUGGAAAACUCCUGGGACAAGGAGCCACUUCCUUUCAGCUCCACACUUGCAGGAUCAACACUAAGGCUGAGAGACCCAUCGACUUGGUCAGCAGUGACCUUUGAGAGAGCGAAUUGGCUGGAAUCUGGACCAUCUUCCGAGGGAAGGAGGGACUCUGAAAUGAUUCCAUGCAUUUGCUUCAGCAGGAUGGCACAGACUCAGCACUGCAGCAGCACACUGUCCAGUCUGAACCCUGUGCACUGGUAGUAGGGAUGUGAGCGGAAUAUGCU